rnacentral:lncRNA from 1 species
AAUAAUAAUAAUAAUAAUAAUAAUAAGGAAUAAUUGCCUAGCUAUAUACCCUCCUCAUACGUUUGAAAAUAUUCGAUUUACUCUUUAUUUUUUUUCCUUUUUAAAAUAUUCCUUAUAUGUUCCAUUGUUAUUGCAAAAUACUUUCGCAGUUAUCUCCUGUUAAGUUAAUUUGGGUUAAACGUCAGUUAAAUAUCUACCACAGUUAAAAAAAAUUAAAAUACCAGUUUUGUCCUUAACUUAAGGGUAAAUAAGAAAUAUUGGUGACGGUAGAGGGGUAUAUUGAAUAUUAGAAAUAGGUUGGAACGUAGAAAAGUAUUUUCAAUAUUAACCUUCUAAAAGGGGUAAAUCGGAAAGUUGGAAACUUUUCAGGGAUAUAAGCAAUUGCCCUUAAUAAUAAUAAUAAUAAUAAUAAAUUUUCCUGAAAGUUCCAGCCGGGCCUUAGCAGUCCCUUUCCAUUCCAGGUGAUUGACUAUUCCUUGACUAGCUAAACAUUUUGAUCUUUAUAAUUCAUUUUGAUAUAUUAUGUUAUCAAAAAUAUUAAAUUAAUAGAAAAUACUUCUGAGAUAGUCAAUCUUACUAAAUUACAUAAAACUCUCCUGUUAAUACUCGUCUUUUUACUCCUCCACCCCGACUUUUAAAAACCUAUAUUUUACCCCCAUUAAAAAAAAAAAGAAAUGUUCAUAGAAUGGUACGGUAUUAACUGUGAUGACAAAAUGAUCAAAUCGGCCUCCCUCUCUUCUUCUCCUCCUCAAUUCCUCCUUCAUCCGUAGCUCUCCUCCUCCUCCGUCCUUCGUGCCUCCGUUGAUUCUAGCUUCGACUCCGCUUGCUCCACUUGCUCUCUUUGCUCCUCUUGCACUUUCGCUGCCCUUCCAUUCGGCGACAGUGGGGAUGGGGUCGGGGUGGGCAUUGACAGAGGGCUGGCAAGGGUGAGACAACGGAGGAGGGCAAGGGCAUGGGUAUGGGCGCGGAUGGAGGGAUGAGCGAGCGCGAGGGCGAGGCGGUGGAGGGAGGCGAGGCAGCACGGCUGACGAUGUCGUCGGCGAGGAGGGAGACAGCCCUACUGAGAGGAGGGGUGCAAGGGUAUUUUGAGUGUAAAAGAAUAUAUAAUAAUUAGAUAUAGAUGGAAUCCUAAUGAAAUACGGAUGACGACGAGAUCCGAAGUGAAUAUUUUUUAUUUUUUAAAGAGGUAAAAUAUAGAUUUUUAAAAAUCUGAAAGAAAAAGUAAAAAGACAAGUAUUAACAGAAAAAUUUUCUGUAAUUUAACCAUUUCAGUAAUAUGCAUUGGAUGCAUGCAUAG